rnacentral:rRNA from 1 species
GAUGAACGCUGGCGGCGUGCCUAAUACAUGCAAGUCGAGCGAACGGACGAGAAGCUUGCUUCUCUGAUGUUAGCGGCGGACGGGUGAGUAACACGUGGAUAACCUACCUAUAAGACUGGGAUAACUUCGGGAAACCGGAGCUAAUACCGGAUGAUAUUUUGAACCGCAUGGUUCAAAAGUGAAAGACGGUCUUGCUGUCACUUAUAGAUGGUUCCGCGCUGCAUUAGCUAGUUGGUAAGGUAACGGCUUACCAAGGCAACGAUGCAUAGCCGACCUGAGAGGGUGAUCGGCCACACUGGAACUGAGACACGGUCCAGACUCCUACGGGAGGCAGCAGUAGGGAAUCUUCCGCAAUGGGCGAAAGCCUGACGGAGCAACGCCGCGUGAGUGAUGAAGGUCUUCGGAUCGUAAAACUCUGUUAUUAGGGAAGAACAUAUGUGUAAGUAACUGUGCACAUCUUGACGGUACCUAAUCAGAAGGCCACGGCUAACUACGUG